rnacentral:lncRNA from 1 species
CUCUACCCUAAUCAUUCAAACACUAAUUAUUUUCACUCUCAUCUUCCGCUACCUUCUGUCUUUCUACACCUUUUUGUAUAGAAGUCUUUCUAUACCUUUUUCUCUACCCUACCCUCAGAAAUGGACUUGCCAUCCUCUUCAUUGUGAGCGUCUCACCACCUAACAGAAGACGGUAGCGCUUACAGCACAAUGCUAUGCAGAGAGGUCGCGCGCAGCUGCGGUAAUGUGGAGAGGUUGCAUUGUGCAGAGAAGAGGCCGAGUUCGUGUAGAUCCGUGUACGGCAACACUGCCUCCAUGUUUUUGUGGUGGUUCUGUGUUGUGCAGUGGUGCAAGUGGUGGUGAUUCUGUGUUGUACGGUGUGGUGGUGGUUUUGCGGUUGUUGGUCAGGUGCUCGGUUGGUGAGGAUUAUAAUGUACUUUAAAUGCUACAGGUCAGAAGGGUGCUAUUAGGCUAUGUUGGUAGUGUAGGUCGUAAGUGGGCGUGGUGGUGGUUGUGGGAUGACCAACUAUUUGGUUAAUUCGGG